GGGCGCGUUGUCUAGUCUGGAUAGGGCGCCAGCCUUCGAAGUUGGAUGUCGCAGGUUCGAAUCCUGCCGCGCCCGCCA
rnacentral:tRNA from 1 species